rnacentral:rRNA from 1 species
UACGUAGGGUGCAAGCGUUAAUCAGAAUUACUGGGCGUAAAGCGUGCGCAGGCGGUUUUGUAAGUCUGACGUGAAAGCCCCGGGCUCAACCUGGGAAUUGCGUUGGAGACUGCAAGGCUUGAAUCUGGCAGAGGGGGGUAGAAUUCCACGUGUAGCAGUGAAAUGCGUAGAGAUGUGGAGGAACACCGAUGGCGAAGGCAGCCCCCUGGGUCAAGAUUGACGCUCAUGCACGAAAGCGUGGGGAGCAAACAGG